GUGGAGAGCAUGAGCCGGGAAAGGAAAGACCGGUGCAAGCGGGACAGUAGCCAUGCAGGCAAAUCCGUGUGGCAAUACGAAGGCGUGACGCGGACCGAAAUAAAGUAGGGAAGCAUGUGAGCCAUGUGCCAAGAAAAGCCGCUAUAGAUCAUAUCGUACCCGUACCGUAAACCGACACAGGUAGAUGAGGAGAGAAUCCUAAGGCCGACGGGAGAAGCAUUGUUAAGGAACUCGGCAAAAUGACCCCGUAACUUCGGGAGAAGGGGUGCCCACACGAGUGGGCCGCAGAGAAUAGGCUCAAGCAACUGUUUAGCAAAAACACAGGUCUAUGCGAAACCGAAAGGUGAGGUAUAUGGGCUGACGCCUGCCCGGUGCUGGAAGGUUAAGAGGAGGAGUCAGGCAACGAAGCUCCGAAUUUAAGCCCCAGUAAACGGCGGCCGUAACAAUAACGGUCCUAAGGUAGCGAAAUUCCUUGUCGGGUAAGUUCCGACCCGCACGAAAGGCGUAAUGAUUUGAGCACUGUCUCGACAAUGCACCCGGUGAAAUUGAAGUACCAGUGAAGAUGCUGGUUACCUGCGCCAGGACGGAAAGACCCCAUGGAGCUUUACUCCAGUUUGAUACUGGGAUUCGAUACUGAAUGUACAGGAUAGGUGGGAGGCUGAGAAGCGUGGACGCCAGUCUGCGGUGAGCCGCUGUUGGGAUACCACCCUUUGAGUAUUGGAUUUCUAACCUGCGCCCGUGACCCGGGCGGGGGACAAUGUCUGACGGGGAGUUUGACUGGGGCGGUCGCCUCCGAAAGGGUAUCGGAGGCGCUCAAAGGUUCCCUCAGAAUGGUUGGAAACCAUUCGCAGAGUGCAAAGGCAGAAGGGAGCUUGACUGUGACACCGACGGGUGGAGCAGGUACGAAAGUAGGACUUAGUGAUCCGGUGGUAUGAAAGUGGGAUUGCCAUCGCUCAACGGAUAAAAGCUACCCUGGGAUAACAGGCUUAUCACUCCCAAGAGUUCACAUCGACGGAGUGGUUUGGCACCUCGAUGUCGGCUCAUCGCAUCCUGGGGCUGUAGCAGGUCCCAAGGGUUGGGCUGUUCGCCCAUUAAAGCGGUACGCGAGCUGGGUUCAGAACGUCGCGAGACAGUUCGGUCCCUAUCCGGCGCAGGCGUAGGAUAUUUGAGAGGAGCUGUCCUUAGUACGAGAGGACCGGGAUGGACAGACCGCUGGUGUAUCUGUUGGUGACCAACACCAUGGCAGAGUAGCCAAGUCUGGCAGGGAUAAACGCUGAAGGCAUCUAAGCGUGAAGCCCCCCUCAAGAUGAGAUAUCCCAAUAAGUAAGACCCCUUAGAGAGUAUGAGGUAGAUAGGCUUAAGGUGUAAGCAUAGUAAUAUGUUCAGCUGAUAAGUACUAAUAGGUCGAGGGCUUAU
rnacentral:rRNA from 1 species